ACCAUACCCGGAUUGAUCAUACUAUACUGUCAUUCUAUUCUGGUCCGUGUACGGAUCUGGUAAUUGGAUUUUCCGUUCUGAAACGGGUAUUGAAAAACAAAAAACGAGUGGUUAUUUGAUUUUCGUUUUAAAAUACAAAAAUUAAAAUUGAAAUACAAGGCGUUUUUCCUUUUCAUGAUCAAAAAGGGAUAUACGAUUUUUUUUAAAUGCUUUGAUUUUCGUUUUAUAUUUAGAAUAACAAGAAAGUAAAAUCAGUAAGAGACAAAAACGAAAAAAGGUCUGUUUUUUCAUUUUCUGAGACCGGAAGUGGUCAUCAGCAAGUGUGGAGCCAAACGACAACAAGAUUCUCAGAGGGCGGAGUCAGAGAGCAGUGAUUGGUCAGACCAAAGAUAGAAGACAGCGCGCUAGCGUAUCUCUAUCUUUGGAGUAAAACACAGUAAGAAGAUAAAUACUUCUAACCAGUAGCGUUAUUUUGUUGUACGUUAAGUCAGCGACUUGUGAAGAGUUGUGUUUUGUCGUGUUUGAGCAGUUGGUCCGGACGCGUUAGCUAGCUAAGCGGCUAAGUUAGCUAGCUAAGCGGCUAAGUUAGCUAGCUAAGCGGCUAAGUUAGCUAGCGGGCUAAUCAACACAGGUGGCUAACUUACCGCUGAACACCUGUGUUAGUUUCUGCCGCAGCUGUCCUCAUUAUUAGAAUGACCUUCUCAACCUGUAUUUCUCUGCUGUGUAUUUUAGCUUUUAAAAAAGUUGUUUUACUUUAAGGUUAACUGAAACCUGUUGAGCUGCACUGAAGUUUAACAUUCAGCUGGUUUGAAUUAAACCGCGCUUAACUUAACAUUGCGCAACAUUACCUCUCUGAAUCUCCAUAAUUUCAUUAAAUUCCUUCUCUCUUCCACUGCUCAAGUUCAAUCCAGUAUAUAAAAUGACAUUAAUAGUGAAUAAACUAACAACCAGCCAUUGUAUUUAUUUAUUACUGCAUGUAUUUGUAGUAAAACAUGAGUUGAAACAUCCUACUUUUGGAUCUAGAACUGCACAAGCCGUUCAUUUUCAGUCACCUGACGAGUUAAACUCCCCUUUUUAUGUGAGGUUGAAGCAGAAAGUCUGAGUUAACAAAGAAAGUUCUUUAUAAUUUGCGAUACCUGUUAUCUCUGACUGAGGCUUUAGUUUUUGUUGAGCUGAUUUACACAUAGAAACUUUGUUCAGGAAGAUUUCUCAGUAGCUCAGAGGACAAGCUGCUUUUUACACAACCUUGUAAGAGAAUGUCUGUCAAUGCUUUCAGCAGAAUUUAGAAACACAACACUUCCUAAACAGAUAUUUUGAGGCUGUGAGAUUGAACGUUUGAGAGUAUAUCAGUGUGUUUGUUUGUGGUCUUUCUGUUUCUAGGUGGAAGCUGAAUUAGUGAGGAUGACUCCUGGUCCUGUCAUCUCUAAGCUCCUCACACAUCUUUACCUGCACAUGAGGAAAAUCACUCCUGUAGAAUGCAGAUGUUCAGAGGGAGAUGAUGCCACAUCUGGUCCAGCUGAUGGAAGGUCUUGAAGUUCUCUGACUGGCCUCGACUGAAGAUGGUCGUCUCACUGGAUUUAAGGUUCAGAUGCUCAGUAACAAACUCCACCAAUGAGCCAACAGGGAAGCUUUAGGUUUAUUAAAUGUUGCUAUGAAGGUUUCGCUGUUUUUCUUUGUGAAUGCAAUGUGCUCCAACUGAAACUUGAAUUAGAGCUUAGAAGUAAAUCCUUCCAUCUGAAAGGAUUUAGUUGCAUUAAUAACCUCACAACAUUCUAAUUUUUAUUCCAGUCUUGGUUGGAAAUAGAAUCUCUGUAUUGAUUCAGGUAAAAACUGAACUUCACAGCAUGUUGAAGCAAAACAACCAGAUGAAAACUGUGAUGGUGUUGGAUUGUCAGACCUUAAUGUUGCAGCUCAAAGCAGCUUUUCUAUCUCAGUUCAUUCUGACAUUCAGCUAUGAAUCAACACAGCAGAUGGUGAUCCAUGCUGUGGAAGUCUCACAUCUCCUGAUUUAAUGGAGCUGCUUUGCACUUUUUACACUGUUUAUUCACCAACACUUUAUUUAAUAAAAGUCCCAUCUAGUUUUUAUGAGGAAUGUGAUGUUUUAAUUUCUCUGUGAAUAACUGCAGUCUAAUGCAACAGCUGGAGUUGUAACAUCUGUCCUGAUAUUGAUCAUGAAGUAUUGAUCAGAAUACUUAUGGUUAGCAGUCAUCCCUGAAGUUUUACAUUAAAAUCUUUACUUGUGUUGUGAACUUUGAUAAGAAGCAGAAAUGUUAGCGUUGCCAUGGAUACAUGAGUGUUAAAUUCUGUCCAUGUUUCCAUUUUGGGAUGCAGUCCAGUUCCAGAAUGUGGAGGAAUUUAGUCUCACAAUCACAGACAACAAAUAUUAUCUGAAAGUCGGGUUGUUGUUGUUUAUCAGCACAAUACAAAAAGAUUAAUGUUAGAAAUAUUCCAGUUAAGACUCUAGAAUAUCAUGAUUUAUGUAAAUUUACCUCAAUAAUAUGAAUGUUCAGGGAUAUUUAUUAUGUAAGUUCAGCUGAUUAAAGUUUAUGACUCUGCACUAAAAUAUUAUUUAAAUUGACAUCAUUAUUAUAAUAUUUAGGGUCAGACCCUACAGUAUUGAGAUUGAGAAAUCAAAUAUUCUAUAAAAUGUAUACACACUGAACUCAUUUGGAUAUAUUUAAGUGAGACUCUACAAUAUUAUUUCGCACAAAUCUAUCUAAAUCAAAAUUGUAAUAAUUUUCAAGCCAAACAUUUACUGGACUGAUUUAACUAUUAAAAUCACUCCUUUCUAAUCCUCUGCUGUACGUUCAAACCUGAGGCCUUAAACAGAAACACACAAGUAUCUGUUUGAAGGAACUUCUGCAGAGUCCUGGUUCCAGAACAUGAUGAUAGAAUUAUAGACAAACUUUAACAAAAGCUGCCUGAGAGUUUACAAGUUUUUAUGUUAGAUUUCUUCAGUAAUUUAAUGAGAGUUAUCAGCAAAAAUCAAGUGUUCAUUUGAUGAACUUCAUUUCCUAAAACAUACAGAAUUGGAGCUCAUAUCUUUGGCAGCUGUAAAGUUUCUGCUCCUUCAAAGUUCACAACACAAUGAAUGAAUUCCUAAAACACUCAAUGCUGGAGAGCGUUUGUGAUGCUGAAGCAGUGACCAGUUUUUCUGUUUCUUCUCUGGAGAUGCACAAUGAGGGACGUCUGCAGAGACUGAGAAAGAGUCUCACCACAUCCUGACAUGAGGAAAAAGACUUUAUUGAAGACUACAAUGAGAAAAACUAUCAGACAGCAGACGGCUGCAUUCAAGAGAAGAAGACCAUCAAACAUCCACGUCAGCUGAUGGAGGUCCAAGAGUCUCACCAAACAACCAACCUACAGAGUGAAGACCUCGAAUCUGAUUGGACGGCCUCCUAUUCAGCCACAUGUGUGAACAAAUGCCUCUAAGCUGAUUUGUUUCCUAAAAUAAAUCUAGUUUGAGUCCUAAUCUAUGCCUGUGUGUUUGCUUCUUUACACCGCUGUUAACAGUUUAGGCUGUUAGAUUGUUCCAGAUAAGACAAGUAAAAGAUACUUCAGAGCCGUUCUACCACGAGCCUGACAGGAAGAACUCCAACAGCUACUGAAUGUUCCUGUGGUCCCCUCAAGGCUACAGGAGGAGCCCUACGAGGACAAGCCGGUCCACCUGAUGGUGGCCAGUCGCUGCGGUUCAAAGCCAACACUGACUACGUGGACUUCUACUGGACCACACGGAGGCCUUCAAACCGGACCAACAAGUUCACCGACUCCCCGACUCGUGGGUCUGAGGACGCCGCCGAGCCUCGGUCCAGCCGGCCUCCUGUCUGUGGGUGUUUGAGUGCUGAGAGGUUUGUGGAUGCAUGUGAACGUCUGUGUUGAAACAGCAGCUUUGGACUCAGUAACGCUGGGAAAAACCAAGAGCUCCUUUAUUUGUGACUUCCACUAAAAAAACUGAUGAAAAUAAGUUUGCCAGGGUUCAGACUGAUAACAGAUUAUUAAAUAAUGAAAAUAAGAGUUUAAAUAUUCCUUUAAACAAUCCUUUUAGGUCUACAUUUCCUUUACACUGACUUCUUGAUAUAUGUACAAGUAUUUUGGGUGGAAUAUACCAUUAAGCCCAAUGUUCAAGGGUUCUUCUGGGAAUAUAGGGCGGCUGUGGCUCAGGUGGUAGAGCGGGUCGUCGUCGUUCAGGCGUUCUUUGUGUGAAAACUCAGAGAUUUCAGGUAUCAGAAGGUGGUUUUCAACUUUCUUUGUUAACUUUCUGCUUCAACUUUAAACUAAAUUUCCUUCACUAACCCAGCCCUCUGGACUUCCAGGAAGCUGUGUUCCUAUUGGCUGUCCAGGUGGCUGAUUGGUGUUAUCAGGAACACCUGAGCAGCUCAAUGUCUUCCUGCUUUAUUUAGCUGCAGACAAACAUUUCCUCUGUUUCUCUUCACCACUGAACCGGGUUUGGCUUCAUUGCUUUAGUUUGUUCUUUAGGCGUUGGCUUGCAGCUUCCAGCAGUAAAAUCGUCUUUAAUGUGUUUCUUGGUGUGUUUUAGGGCUUUGUACUGGAUAGUUGUCUUGGUAAAUGUGGUUCUUUAGCCACAGUUAGCACAUGGUGCUAAUGUGUGCAGUGAUUAGUGGAUUUGGUGCAGCUGAGUUGUGUCUUUAUCUUGGCUGUAGUGAGUCUUUAGAGGUUUUUGGUCAGACACAUUCUGUAUUCUUGUUUGAGAACCAACGUUGGUUGUCCAGAAGGUAAGAGUUCCUGUCCUGAUUCUCUGUUCUCAGAGGUUCUCUGGUAGACUGCAGGAGACUUUAGUGUUUGGGUUGUGCUAGUUUGGUUUUUGUACGGUUUCAUUUGGACGACUAUCUUGAGGCCCCUCCAUGUGGUUUAGUGAGGUUUUCUGGAACAGUUCUACAAAGCAACCUGCAGCAGAAGAGACUUUGAGAGUUUUUAGGAAGUUCUGGAGACCAGACUUUAGAGCAGCAGAAACAUUUGUCAGCAGUUUGAGCAGGAGAAGGUGAGCUUCAGAGUAGAAAUGAGACGGAAACCUUCUUGACCCGUGUGGUGAGGUCCUGUACCAAGAGUUUGAGCAGGUUGUGAAGAGUCUGUAGUUCUUUGGUCUGAAAGCACAAGAAGAGUCGACUCAUUAAAGGAGAAAACAGGAGAUAUUGUUGGUUCUUCUGUCGCUCUGCAGUUUCCUUAGACUGAAUAUCAAGUUUAUAUUUUAAAUGAUUUACCAUGUGAGCCCAAGAAGACUUCAAUAAACUCUCUCCAUCCCCUGGACACAACAUAUUUUAUUGCCAUGUUAAAUCUUUUUUUUUUUGUUUGUUUGUUUGUUUUUUUUUUAAAUGUUUUUGAGUUUUAAUCAUAGUUUUUGCAUAGUUUUUUUCUCUUUGCUUGUUUAG